rnacentral:lncRNA from 1 species
AUGAUUCAAAUAUUAAUGGCAAAAAUCAAAAUUUUGGUGAUUUAUCAGAAUCCGAUGAAGAAGAUUAUGUGGCUGAAGAGGAUGAUGAUGAUGAUGAUUAUGAAGAGGGUGAUGAAGACUUGGAAGAGGAUGAGGAUGAGGAUGAAGAUGGUGAUUUUGCUGAUGAAGGAGAAGGUGGAGAAGAUGAUUAAAAAAAAAAAAAAAAAAAAAAAAAAAAAAAAAAAAAAAAAAAAAAAAAAAAAAAAAAAAAAAAAAAAAAAAAAAAAAAAAAAAAGGGUAGAAAAAUAAGUUAUAUAAAAAGCAGGGACAAAUAUAUAUAAAUAUAUAUAUAUAUAUAUAUAUAUAUAUAUAUGUAUAUUAGCUGUACAUAUACUACAUACGUACAAACAUGCGUAUGUUUUUAAAACUCUUUUUUUUUUUUCUUUUUUUGUUUUUUUUCUGCUUCAUAACAUCAUAUGCCCAACAUAUCACUUCUUUUAUUUUAUUUUAUUUUUUUUCGUCUAUUAUAUCGCACUGCAUAAAUACAUAUUACAUAGCAUCUUUUUAUAGGGAUAUUUUUAUCACAUUUUAUGUAAUAUACAUUUUUAAUUUUUUACCUACGUAGUUCGAAGUUACUACAACAAGAACAACGACAAAAACAAAAACAACAAAAACAACAAAAACAACAAAAACAACAAAAACAACAAAAACAACAAAAAUCAAAAUCUUGUACAUUAAUAAUUUUUUUAGUUCGUAAUAGUUGAAAUUAAAAAAAAAAAAAAAAAAACAGUUUCAGCCAACACAAGUUACAGAAACAUAAAAACGGAGUUGUAAAUAUAUCUGUGUAUGUACAUAUACAACUGUUGUAACUAUUUUUUUAAAAAAUUACUACAUUUUUAUAUAAACUGCUAAGUUAUUGGACUUGUUUAGUCACUGGUGGAUAUUCAAACUGUUCUUGCUUUGACUUGAUAUAAUUCUGUGCUUCGCUGUAAAAAAAAAAAAAAAAAAGGAUUAACAAAAAUUAUUGAAGCCUUGAGUAUACAGAACUGUGGCAUGUUCAAUGAUAAUAAAGGGUAGUGUACGUAUGUAUGCA